rnacentral:rRNA from 1 species
ACAUGCAAGUCGAACGGAAGUCGUUAUGAUGAUUUCGAUAUGGACAGAGAACUUGUUCGAAGAAAAUGGAGACUGACUUAUAACAAUGGCUUUAGUGGCGGACUGGUGAGUAACACGUGAGCAACCUGCCUAUCAGAGGGGAAUAACAGUGAGAAAUCAUUGCUAAUACCGCAUAUGCCAUAAAUAUCACAUGAUAAAAGUGGGAAAGGAGUAAUCCGCUGAUAGAUGGGCUCGCGUCUGAUUAGAUAGUUGGUGGGGUAACGGCCUACCAAGUCGACGAUCAGUAGCCGGACUGAGAGGUUGAACGGCCACAUUGGGACUGAGAUACGGCCCAGACUCCUACGGGAGGCAGCAGUCGGGAAUAUUGCGCAAUGGAGGAAACUCUGACGCAGUGACGCCGCGUAUAGGAAGAAGGUUUUCGGAUUGUAAACUAUUGUCGUUAGGGAAGAUACAAGACAGUACCUAAGGAGGAAGCUCCGGCUAACUACGUGCCAGCAGCCGCGGUAAUACGUAGGGAGCAAGCGUUAUCCGGAUUUAUUGGGUGUAAAGGGUGCGUAGACGGGAAAGCAAGUUAGUUGUGAAAUCCCUCGGCUUAACUGAGGAACUGCAACUAAAACUACUUUUCUUGAGUGUUGGAGAGGAAAGUGGAAUUCCUAGUGUAGCGGUGAAAUGCGUAGAUAUUAGGAGGAACACCGGUGGCGAAGGCGACUUUCUGGACAAUAACUGACGUUGAGGCACGAAAGUGUGGGGAGCAAACAGGAUUAGAUACCCUGGUAGUCCACACCGUAAACGAUGGAUACUAGGUGUAGGGAACAUUAAGUUUUCUGUGCCGUCGCAA